AAACGGUUGGAGGAUCUCUUUUAUCUGCGGAGUCCAACUUGACAUCUGAGCUAGCUUGCAGGCGAAGGUCAAUUGAACUAACUUCAGGACAGAAAUGGAUGGGAAAAGUACAUCCUGUAGCUAACAUCUCUAACUGCAGAAUGGAAGGGAAAAGUACAUCCUGUAGCUAACAUCUAUAUGCCGUCCAGAAAUGGAAUCCUCUACACCAGAACAUGACAUCCUGUAACGCCUCUAACUGCAGAAUGGAAGGGAAAAGUACAUCCUGUAGCUAACAUCUCUAACUGCAGACCAGAAUGGAUGGGAAAAGUACAUCCUGUAGCUAACAGCUCUAACUGCAGAAUGGAAGGGAAAAGUACAUCCUGUAGCUAACAUCUCUAACUGCAGAAUGGAAGGGAAAAGUACAUCCUGUAGCUAACAGCUAUAUGCUGCCUGAAAUGGAAUCCUCUACACCAGAACAUGAUAUCCUGUAACGCCUCUAACUGCAGACCAGAAUGGAUGGGAAAAGUACAUCCUGUAGCUAACAGCUCUAACUGCAGAAUGGAAGGGAAAAGUACAUCCUGUAGCUAACAUCUCUAACUGCAGACCAGAAUGGAUGGGAAAAGUACAUCCUGUAGCUAACAGCUCUAACUGCAGAAUGGAAGGGAAAAGUACAUCCUGUAGCUAACAGCUCUAACUGCAGACCAGAAUGGAUGGGAAAAGUACAUCCUGUAGCUAACAGCUCUAACUGCAGAAUGGAAGGGAAAAGUACAUCCUGUAGCUAACAUCUAUAUGCUGCCUGAAAUGGAAUCCUCUACACCAGAACAUGAUAUCCUGUAACGCCUCUAACUGCAGACCAGAAUGGAUGGGAAAAGUACAUCCUGUAGCUAACAGCUCUAACUGCAGACCAGAAUGGAUGGGAAAAGUAUAUCCUGUAGCUAACAUCUCUAACUGCAGAAUGGAAGGGAAAAGUACAUCCUGUAGCUAACAGCUAUAUGCUGCCUGAAAUGGAAUCCUCUACACCAGAACAUGAUAUCCUGUAACGCCUCUAACUGCAGACCAGAAUGGAUGGGAAAAGUACAUCCUGUAGCUAACAGCUCUAACUGCAGACCAGAAUGGAUGGGAAAAGUACAUCCUGUAGCUAACAGCUCUAACUGCAGACCAGAAUGGAUGGGAAAAGUACAUCCUGUAGCUAACAGCUCUAACUGCAGAAUGGAAGGGAAAAGUACAUCCUGUAGCUAACAUCUAUAUGCCGUCCAGAAAUGGAAUCCUCUACGCCAGAACAUGAUAUCCUGUAACGCCUCUAACUGCAGAAUGGAUGGGAAAAGUACAUCCUGUAGCUAACAUCUCUAACUGCAGACCAGAAUGGAUGGGAGAAGUACAUCCUGUAGCUAACAUCUCUAACUGCAGACCAGAAUGGAUGGGAAAAGUAUAUCCUGUAGCUAACAUCUCUAACUGCAGAAUGGAAGGGAAAAGUACAUCCUGUAGCUAACAGCUAUAUGCUGCCUGAAAUGGAAUCCUCUACACCAGAACAUGAUAUCCUGUAACGCCUCUAACUGCAGACCAGAAUGGAUGGGAAAAGUACAUCCUGUAGCUAACAGCUCUAACUGCAGAAUGGAAGGGAAAAGUACAUCCUGUAGCUAACAUCUAUAUGCCGUCCAGAAAUGGAAUCCUCUACGCCAGAACAUGACAUCCUGUAACGCCUCUAACUGCAGAAUGGAUGGGAAAAGUACAUCCUGUAGCUAACAUCUCUAACUGCAGACCAGAAUGGAUGGGAGAAGUACAUCCUGUAGCUAACAUCUCUAACUGCAGACCAGAAUGGAUGGGAGAAGUACAUCCUCAAGCUAACAUCUCUAACUGCAGAAUGGAAGGGAAAAGUACAUCCUGUAGCUAACAGCUCUAACUGCAGACCAGAAUGGAUGGGAAAAGUACAUCCUGUAGCUAACAUCUCUAACUGCAGACCAGAAUGGAUGGGAAAAGUAUAUCCUGUAGCUAACAUCUCUAACUGCAGAAUGGAAGGGAAAAGUACAUCCUGUAGCUAACAGCUAUAUGCUGCCUGAAAUGGAAUCCUCUACACCAGAACAUGAUAUCCUGUAACGCCUCUAACUGCAGAAUGGAUGGGAAAAGUACAUCCUGUAGCUAACAUCUCUAACUGCAGACCAGAAUGGAUGGGAGAAGUACAUCCUGUAGCUAACAUCUCUAACUGCAGACCAGAAUGGAUGGGAGAAGUACAUCCUCAAGCUAACAUCUCUAACUGCAGAAUGGAAGGGAAAAGUACAUCCUGUAGCUAACAGCUCUAACUGCAGACCAGAAUGGAUGGGAAAAGUACAUCCUGUAGCUAACAUCUCUAACUGCAGAAUGGAAGGGAAAAGUACAUCCUGUAGCUAACAGCUAUAUGCUGCCUGAAAUGGAAUCCUCUACACCAGAACAUGAUAUCCUGUAACGCCUCUAACUGCAGACCAGAAUGGAUGGGAAAAGUACAUCCUGUAGCUAACAUCUAUAUGCUGCCUGAAAUGGAAUCCUCUACACCAGAACAUGAUAUCCUGUAACGCCUCUAACUGCAGAAUGGAAGGGAAAAGUACAUCCUGUAGCUAACAGCUCUAACUGCAGACCAGAAUGGAUGGGAUAAGUACAUCCUGUAGCUAACAUCUCUAACUGCAGAAUGGAUGGGAAAAGUACAUCCUGUAGCUAACAGCUAUAUGCUGCCUGAAAUGGAAUCCUCUACACCAGAACAUGACAUCCUGUAACGCCUAGGACUGCUAGCCGUGUUACUCCAUCCUUCCAAAUUGUCUCAUUGACUAGCGACGCCUGGCCUUCAGAGGUUGGGGGACUGUGGACCAGAAAAGGACACAAUGUUACACUUGUAAGAAUACGUUUUCAUAUUGUGCUACUUUUGUGAAGUUGUUGCAAGAUUGUAUUAAGAAUGACAGUAUCCCGAACCUGAUUCCUGUAAGAUUGACAACACUGUCGGACCUGACUUCUGAAAUGAAACUUGCAACCAAACGUGUUAGCAGGAUUAUGGGGGGAAUAGCUUUUUAAAGGUUGUAACAAGGUGUUUUCUUUAAUUUAUUUAAUUCCUAUUGACUCUCUUUGCAAGUAUUGUGAUCUUUAUCAGACACUGGGCUGGCCAUCACUGGCAAUGUGGAGACCGCAGUAUUGCCUUUUCAUUUACGAAGUGCUAAAUUGGUACCGAGCUAGCCUAGGACAAAGUUUGUCGUAUUGAUUUGUGGAUUAACUGGAUGUUAGAAUUUAAUAAAGAUAAUUUAAGUGCA